GACGAACGCUGGCGGCGUGCUUAACACAUGCAAGUCGAACGAUGAAGCCUAGCUUGCUAGGUGGAUUAGUGGCGAACGGGUGAGUAAUACGUGAGUAACCUACCUUUAACUCUGGGAUAAGCCUGGGAAACUGGGUCUAAUACCGGAUACGACCAAUCUCCGCAUGGGGUGUUGGUGGAAAGCGUUAUGUAGUGGUUAUAGAUGGGCUCACGGCCUAUCAGCUUGUUGGUGAGGUAACGGCUAACCAAGGCGAAGACGGGUAGCCCACCUGAGAGGGUGACCGGCCACACUGGGACUGAGACACGGCCCAGACUCCUACGGGAGGCAGCAGUGGGGAGUAUGGCACAAUGAGCGCGAGCCUGAUGCAGCGGCGCCGCGUGAGGGAUAACGGCCUUCGGGUUGUAAACCUCUGUGAGCAGGGAAGAAGAGAAAUUGACGGUACCUGCAGAGAAAGCGCGGGCUAACUACGUG
rnacentral:rRNA from 1 species